rnacentral:rRNA from 1 species
AACGAACGCUGGCGGCAGGCUUAACACAUGCAAGUCGAACGCCCCGCAAGGGGAGUGGCGGACGGGUGAGUAACACGUGGGAACAUGCCCAAAGGUACGGAAUAUUCUCGGGAAACUGGGAGCAAUACCGUAUGUGCCCGAAAGGGGAAAGAUUUAUCGCCUUUGGAUUGGCCCGCGUCAGAUUAGGUAGUUGGUGGGGUAAUGGCCUACCAAGCCGACGAUCUGUAGCUGGUCUGAGAGGACGACCAGCCACACUGGGACUGAGACACGGCCCAGACUCCUCCGGGGGGCAGCAGUGGGGAAUCUUGGACAAUGGGCGCAAGCCUGAUCCAGCCAUGCCGCGUGGAUGAUGAAGGCCUUAGGGUUGUAAAAUCCUUUCGUUGGGGACGAUAAUGACGGUACCCAAAGAAGAAGCUCCGGCUAACUUCGUGCCAGCCGCCGCCGUAAGAC